GCGGGAAUAGCUCAGUUGGUAGAGCGCAACCUUGCCAAGGUUGAGGUCACGAGUUCGAGCCUCGUUACCCGCUCCA
rnacentral:tRNA from 1 species